rnacentral:rRNA from 1 species
GAUGAACGCUGGCGGCGUGCUUAACACAUGCAAGUCGAACGAAGCACUUUAUUUGAUUUCCUUCGGGACUGAUUAUUUUGUGACUGAGUGGCGGACGGGUGAGUAACGCGUGGGUAACCUGCCUUGUACAGGGGGAUAACAGUUGGAAACGGCUGCUAAUACCGCAUAAGCGCACAGCAUCGCAUGAUGCAGUGUGAAAAACUCCGGUGGUAUAAGAUGGACCCGCGUUGGAUUAGCUAGUUGGUGAGGUAACGGCCCACCAAGGCGACGAUCCAUAGCCGACCUGUGAGGGUGACCGACCACAUUGGAACUGAGACACGGCCCAAACUCCUACGGGAGGCAGCAGUGGGGAAUAUUGCACAAUGAGCGAAAGCCUGAUGCAGCGACGCCGCGUGAGCGAAGAAGUAUUUCGGUAUGUAAAGCUCUAUCAGCAGGGAAGAUAAUGACGGUACCUGACUAAGAAGCACCGGCUAAAUACGUG